AUGAGUGGCGAACGGGUGAGUAACACGUGAGUAACCUGCCCCCUUCUUUGGGAUAACGGUCGGAAACGGGUGCUAAUACCGGGAUAUUCACUGUUCUUCGCAUGGGGGGUGGUGGAAAGGUUUUUCCUGUUGGGGAAUGGGUUCCCGCCUUAUCAGCUUUUUGUUGGGUGAUGGCUUACCAAGGCUUUGACGGGUAACCGGCCUGAGAGGGUGACCGGUCACAUUGGGACUGAGAUACGGCCCAGACUCCUACGGGAGGCAGCAGUGGGGAAUAUUGCACAAUGGGCGCAAGCCUGAUGCAGCGACGCCGCGUGAGGGAUGGCGGCCUUCGGGUUGUGAACCUCUUUCGCUCAUGGUCAAGCCGCAACAAUGGUUGUGGUGAGGGUAGUGGGUAAAGAAGCACCGGCUAACUACGUGCCAGCAGCCGCGGUAAUACGUAGGGUGCGAGCGUUGUCCGGAAUUAUUGGGCGUAAAGGGCUUGUAGGCGGUUGGUCGCGUCUGCCGUGAAAUCCUCUGGCUUAACUGGGGGCGUGCGGUGGGUACGGGCAGACUUGAGUGCGGUAGGGGAGACUGGAACUCCUGGUGUAGCGGUGGAAUGCGCAGAUAUCAGGAAGA
rnacentral:rRNA from 1 species